rnacentral:pre_miRNA from 1 species
AGUAGUGCAAUAUUGCUUAUAGGGUUUUGGUGUUUGGGAAGAACUAUGGGCAAGUUGCAGAUACU